UGCAAGUCGAACGCGUUGGCCCAAUUGAUUGAUGGUGCUUGCACCUGAUUGAUUUUGGUCGCCAACGAGUGGCGGACGGGUGAGUAACACGUAGGUAACCUGCCCAGAAGCGGGGGACAACAUUUGGAAACAGAUGCUAAUACCGCAUAACAGCGUUGUUCGCAUGAACAACGCUUAAAAGAUGGCUUCUCGCUAUCACUUCUGGAUGGACCUGCGGUGCAUUAGCUUGUUGGUGGGGUAAUGGCCUACCAAGGCGAUGAUGCAUAGCCGAGUUGAGAGACUGAUCGGCCACAAUGGGACUGAGACACGGCCCAUACUCCUACGGGAGGCAGCAGUAGGGAAUCUUCCACAAUGGGCGCAAGCCUGAUGGAGCAACACCGCGUGAGUGAAGAAGGGUUUCGGCUCGUAAAGCUCUGUUGUUAAAGAAGAACACGUAUGAGAGUAACUGUUCAUACGUUGACGGUAUUUAACCAGAAAGUCACGGCUAACUACGUGCCAGCAGCCGCGGUAAUACGUAGGUGGCAAGCGUUAUCCGGAUUUAUUGGGCGUAAAGAGAGUGCAGGCGGUUUUCUAAGUCUGAUGUGAAAGCCUUCGGCUUAACCGGAGAAGUGCAUCGGAAACUGGAUAACUUGAGUGCAGAAGAGGGUAGUGGAACUCCAUGUGUAGCGGUGGAAUGCGUAGAUAUAUGGAAGAACACCAGUGGCGAAGGCGGCUACCUGGUCUGCAACUGACGCUGAGACUCGAAAGCAUGGGUAGCGAACAGGAUUAGAUACCCUGGUAGUCCAUGCCGUAAACGAUGAGUGCUAGGUGUUGGAGGGUUUCCGCCCUUCAGUGCCGGAGCUAACGCAUUAAGCACUCCGCCUGGGGAGUACGACCGCAAGGUUGAAACUCAAAGGAAUUGACGGGGGCCCGCACAAGCGGUGGAGCAUGUGGUUUAAUUCGAAGCUACGCGAAGAACCUUACCAGGUCUUGACAUCUUGCGCCAACCCUAGAGAUAGGGCGUUUCCUUCGGGAACGCAAUGACAGGUGGUGCAUGGUCGUCGUCAGCUCGUGUCGUGAGAUGUUGGGUUAAGUCCCGCAACGAGCGCAACCCUUGUUACUAGUUGCCAGCAUUAAGUUGGGCACUCUAGUGAGACUGCCGGUGACAAACCGGAGGAAGGUGGGGACGACGUCAGAUCAUCAUGCCCCUUAUGACCUGGGCUACACACGUGCUACAAUGGACGGUACAACGAGUCGCGAACUCGCGAGGGCAAGCAAAUCUCUUAAAACCGUUCUCAGUUCGGACUGCAGGCUGCAACUCGCCUGCACGAAGUCGGAAUCGCUAGUAAUCGCGGAUCAGCAUGCCGCGGUGAAUACGUUCCCGGGCCUUGUACACACCGCCCGUCACACCAUGAGAGUUUGUAACACCCAAAGUCGGUGGGGUAACCUUUUAGGAGCCAGCCGCCU
rnacentral:rRNA from 2 species